GGAGUUUGGGCCGUGUCUCAGUCCCAAUGUGGCCGGUUGCCCUCUCAGGCCGGCUACGGAUCAUCGCUUUGGUAGGCCGUUACCCUGCCAACUGGCUAAUCCGACGCGGAGCCAUCUCUCACCGAUGAAAUCUUUCCUCCCUGUGCCAUGCGGCACCGUGAGCAUAUGCGGUAUUAACAGUCGUUUCCAACUGUUAUCCCCCUGUGAGAGGCAGGUUCUCCACGCGUUCCUCACCCAUCCGCCGCUAAGUAUGACAUGUGCAAGCACUCGUCACACUCCGCUCGACUUGCAUGUGUUAGGCACGCCGCCAGCGUUCAUC
rnacentral:rRNA from 1 species